CCCAGUUCCUUUUUCCUCCACUUAAUGCGUUUAUUGAUUCGUUUGGUUUCUUUGUGUGUUCAUGAAACAUCGUGAUGAGAUAAGCAGACGGGCGGUCUGAAUUGAUGCCAUGUAGACAUGUCUGCCUUCGCUAUAACUAUGUAGCUUCUCUGAGUAUUGAUCUUUUUGUUUGAUUUAAGUACAGCUUUAUAUUGCGAUGAUGAAUUUGCUUCUAUUUAUGUCUGGACAUAUGAGAUUAUUAAAUCUUUGAUCUGACUGGUGCAAAAAAUUCUGAGCUAUGUAUUUUUCGCUUAUAUUCCUGUAUUCCUGUCGGUAAUGCAAUCCUAAAUCCUAAUCAGCUGUAACUAGGGUCGUGUAUAAACUGAUAUUGUAAACGUAUUGUUAUAUCCGGAAAGUCUAGAUAGACCAUUGACCCGUGAGCUUUU